rnacentral:rRNA from 1 species
GACGAACGCGGGCGGCGUGCUAAUACAUGCAAGUGGGACGCAAGGGAACACACUGUGCUUGCACACCGUGUUUUCUUGAGUCGCGAACGGGUGAGUAACGCGUAGGUAACCUGCCUAUUAGCGGGGGAUAACUAUUGGAAACGAUAGCUAAUACCGCAUAAUAUUAAUUAUUGCAUGAUAAUUGAUUGAAAGAUGCAAGCGCAUCACUAGUAGAUGGACCUGCGUUGUAUUAGCUAGUUGGUAAGGUAAGAGCUUACCAAGGCGACGAUACAUAGCCGACCUGAGAGGGUGAUCGGCCACACUGGGACUGAGACACGGCCCAGACUCCUACGGGAGGCAGCAGUAGGGAAUCUUCGGCAAUGGACGAAAGUCUGACCGAGCAACGCCGCGUGAGUGAAGAAGGUUUUCGGAUCGUAAAGCUCUGUUGUAAGUCAAGAACGUGUGUGAGAGUGGAAAGUUCACGCAGUGACGGAGCUACCAGAAAGGCGCA